rnacentral:rRNA from 1 species
UUUAUUGAGAGUUUGAUCCUGGCUCAGGAUGAACGCUGGCGGCGUGCCUAACACAUGCAAGUCGAGCGAGAAGCUCAUUUUCAAAGUCUUCGGAUGGAGAUGUUGAGUGGAAAGCGGCGGACGGGUGAGUAACGCGUAGGCAACCUGCCCCUUUCAGAGGGAUAGCCAUUGGAAACGGUGAUUAAUACCUCAUAACGCCAAAAGGUCACAUGGCCUUUUGGUCAAAGAUUUAUCGGGAGGGGAUGGGCCUGCGUCUGAUUAGGUAGUUGGAGGGGUAACGGCCCACCAAGCCUACGAUCAGUAGCCGACCUGAGAGGGUAA